rnacentral:rRNA from 1 species
AUUGAACGCUGGCGGCAGGCUUAACACAUGCAAGUCGAGCGGAGCGAGGGUGCUUGCACCUUAGCUUAGCGGCGGACGGGUGAGUAAUGCUUAGGAAUCUGCCUAUUAGUGGGGGACAACAUUCCGAAAGGAAUGCUAAUACCGCAUACGCCCUACGGGGGAAAGCAGGGGAUCUUCGGACCUUGCGCUAAUAGAUGAGCCUAAGUCGGAUUAGCCAGUUGGUGGGGUAAAGGCCUACCAAGGCGACGAUCUGUAGCGGGUCUGAGAGGAUGAUCGGCCACACUGGGACUGAGAAACGGCCCAGACUCCUACGGGAGGCAGCAGUGGGGAAUAUUGGACAAUGGGCGGAAGCCUGAUCCAGCCAUGCCGCGUGUGUGAAGAAGGCCUUUUGGUUGUAAAGCACUUUAAGCGAGGAGGAGGCUACUUAGAUUAAUACUCUGGGAUAGUGGACGUUACUCGCAGAAUAAGCACCGGCUAACUCUGUGCCAGCCGCCGCCGUAAAAC